rnacentral:rRNA from 1 species
GGGGAAUAUUGGACAAUGGGCGAAAGCCUGAUCCAGCAAUGCCGCGUGAGUGAUGAAGGCCUUAGGGUUGUAAAGCUCUUUUACCCGGGAAGAUAAUGACUGUACCGGGAGAAUAAGUCCCGGCUAACUCCGUGCCAGCAGCCGCGGUAAUACGGAGGGGGCUAGCGUUGUUCGGAAUGACUGGGCGUAAAGCGCGCGUAGGCGGAUCGGUAAGUUGGGGGUGAAAUCCCGGGGCUCAACCCUGGAAUGGCCUUCAAGACUCCCGGUCUUGAGUUCGAGAGAGGUGAGUGGAAUUCCGAGUGUAGAGGUGAAAUUCGUAGAUAUUCGGAGGAACACCAGUGGCGAAGGCGGCUCACUGGCUCGACACUGACGCUGAGGCGCGAAAGCGUGGGGAGCAAAC